CCCUUCCUUUAUCCCGGUGGGGCCCAGACCCGCGCAACCAGGCGGGGAGGGGAAGUGGGCGCGCGGUUGGGUUGCGACCUGGAGCGUUGGGGACAGGUCAGGAGCCGGCGUAUUUCUGCAGUGAGACCCUAGGAUGGACUCUACACUUUCGGCUUCGAUGGAGUCCCGAUUUUGCUCUUUCCAGGAAAACAGUGGCAGGGUGUUUGCUGCUUGUCGAUUUCAGAGGAUAUGCCUGGCUCAUGGGUCCCCGGACAUUCCACUGGAGGCUUGAACUGCAUUUAGGAGCUCCCAUCCCUUCCCUGUCCACACUCUUAGUAAGCAGUUUCACAUGUUUGCAUUUAGAUUCGUAGGCUCAGAACCACUCAUCACACACACACACACAGUGUACACUGACAUACUCAAUCACAUUCACACACUUAAGUAUACAGCCUGUCCCUUGCUCGGAGCCGGUAACAACGUUUCCUCCUCCAGAGACUUUGAGACAGAGUGAGUGAUCCGUGGGCACCAUUCGUCCUUGCUUGUGCCUCGCCAGUCUGGCUAGCUUGUUCUGGAAGGGGCUUAAGAGGAACAAGCCCCAGCUGUGCUUCUGGCUGGGACUCAAGGCUCCCCUCUUCUGGGCCCUAACGCCUCCAGCUUCCUUGUGGACCGGACUUGACUCUGCAGGCACCUGGGAACCCACUAUUUUAUUCUAUUUUGGGACAAGAAAAAGGGGCUCUUUGGAGCCACUUUCUGCCUUCCCCUCAAGUAGGGUCUCCAGCCUGCAGUGGGUGCCUAGUCCUUGUUUGCCCAAGAAGCCUUUCCUCUGUGCCUGGGAAAUGCAACCUUCUCCUAGGAGCAUGGUAGGGUGUUGGUGCUGGAAGAACCAAGCAGCGACCCCUCUUGCAGCUGCCAUGUUUUGGUGAGGGGUUCUGGGGGUCCUGCUGCUUUAGGGGCACAUACUUCAACUUCCUGAUUCACUACUGUGCGCUAGUCAGAUGCUUAGAAGGGGAACAAGCUUCAAAGUGAAAGUGGGCACAUUACCGGAAUAAAGCUGGGGAGAGUGCUGGAUUCUUUUCCACCCCGGGCAGCCGGGUGAGAAGCCAGGCUUAGACCUGUCCUCUGCUCCUAGCUUGCAGACUCAGCCCUAAACUCAGAGCAGCAGGCAUACCAUCCUCCUCCCCACCCCACCAUCUGCUCUCUAAGGCCCCUGGGCUUCCUGCAGGGUCCAGACCAAUGUGAUUGAGCUUGUUGAGCUUGGGCUUUUAUCUGUCCUGAUCCUGGGUUUGUCCUGACCAAUGUAAGUGUCGCCCAAUAAAACCUUCUGUGACCCCCCCACCAGCCAACCCCCCCAACCUCAGUGUGCCCUUUCCUUCUUGACUUUUUAGCAGUUCUGGGUAAAUAUUGAUUUGCCCCCAGUUUACCUUCUCCCUGACUGGCCAUUUGCAGACUCAGAAACUAACCUCUGUAGGGACUUGAUUUUUCUGUUACUUUCUGGCCCUUUCACUUACCCCACUUCCUCCCUCCAAGUGGCAUUGUAAAACUCACAGUGACAAAGACACAGGGUAGGGUUCGAGGCCCCAGUUCCUGGGGACUUGAAGGAGGUUUUACAUGCGGGUCAGACGUGGCUGGAGGCCAAGGUCAAGUUGAAAGUUGCAGUCUAGCCAGCAUGAGAACUGCCAUGCAAGCGUGGAGACCCAGGCGGCUGCAAAAGGCCCACUGCCCACAUCCCCUCACUCUUAAUUUUCUCUUUUUUUAAAAUUCUCGGCUCUGACUCUGUGUGGCUGCCCGGAAUUUUUUGCUGCCUUGGUGGGGUUUUUGGGGUGGUGUUUACGGAGUCUUCUCUGCUUCUGCCCUGCUCAGCCGGGGCUUUGAGCCUCUUUGGUUUUCCAGCCAGACCCGGAAAAACGAAAACACAGCUUGGGGAGCCCCCACUAGCCGGCGCCUGUGCCAGUUUACCUCUGGCCAUGGCGGCAGCUGCUGGUCCACAAGGCGACCAAAGCCAGCUCCACAAUCUUCCCUUCCCCUCCCACUUUACCAGAGCUCCGAACCCUGCGUGGAGAGGAAGGGCCUCAGCUCCGCAGACGACUGGGUCCCUCCUCACCAAAAGUGGUGAGACAAGAUUUCAUCUUGUCCGCUGAGGAGCCACAAGCAGGUACCACGAAGCCACUAGUGCCUAGGGCCUCAGAAAAGACGGCAGGAGCUCAAGGAAGACUCCAGUUUGUACAACCCUGCCCUGUCUCCCUCAGAGAGUCCCUGAGCAAGGAUACCCCCAGCCCAUACACACCAUUUUAGAACAACCAGGUUCCAGACUCCCAUGAGGAGCAUUCCCCCAGCCAGCCGCGGGUGGACUCCCCAGGACUGGAGCAAACUCCGGCUUCCAAGACUCGGCUCAGGGAGGCCUAAGCGACUCGGAAGCCGGCGGCCGGCCGCGGCAGCGGCGGCGGUGGUGGCAGAGCUCUCUUCCCCGACAGUGCCACUGCCCACUCUUCACUGGAGCUGGAAACAGCCUUCGCGGAAAGGACCGGAGCGAGGGUUAGAAGCAGAGCGAGCUUGGAGAAGGGCUCCGCCGGAAGGAGGAAACGCCUUGUCGCUGUGCGCGGCCAGCUCGCGGGGCACACCGGCUCGUUGGACUGCGGAACCCGCGCCACCCAAGGAGUGACCUGCGGGUCACUGAGCCUGGGCGCUGGGCAAGCGCGGGACGGCCCGGGGAAUUCCGCGCGGCUGCGACGUGAAAAGGACGAGGGGGUCUCUGUACCCCACGCUGUCACUGACUGAAAGGAAUUUUACCCGCGGACGCCCACCCCCACCCUAGCUUGAUGCUCACGCCCGCAACAAAACAGGAAACCAGCAAUCAAUGGGCAGUGCAUUCUUUAAGUCAACAAAUAUACUGAAGAUGUCGAGCGUUUGAAGGAAGUAGGGGGUUUGCCCAUAAGCCUGGUCCCGCCGGGCUCGGCUUUCUCGCUGAGAAAGCGACGCAGGCAGCCAGGCGGCCUGGGCCCGCGGGAGUCCAUCUCGCCCUAGACACCGAAGAACUCCCGCGGCCCUGUUCCCAGCUGCGAAUUCUUAAUGCACAACGCGACAGAGGGAAGGAAAUUCACCGGCGAAGCGGCUAGGCAGGGGAACUCAGGACCCCUUCAAGUACACACUGAGGUGUGAUCAGAGUUUUAUGGGUACGUUAUAUGCUGUAAUCAUAACGAUGUGUGUGAUUGCACAUCCAUUCAUCAAACGUGCAUAUCCACACACAGUGAAUAAGCACAUGCAGUGUCAUGUGGGCGAAAUACAGGCAUCAUACCCAGCCCUACGAAAAGAAUUCACCCUGUCUGACCAGCCUAGUGACAUACUUCGCUGGCGCAUCUCCUUACUCAUUCUAACUUUUCUGACCCCUCACCAUACCCUCUCCUGUGGCUUUGUCAAAACACCUGUCCCCCGUGGAAGGUGAGUCCUGGACUGGCGUUGCCUGGUUAGCCUGUCCUCCCCAGAACCUCCGGCUGGCUCCGGGGACCCUCGCUGAGCAAGUCUGGAGCACCCGACACUGUUCAAGGAGCAGCCGCCGUUCCUUUGUCCCGCGGCUCCAGCUCCGUUCGGCCCAGCUCUCAGAGAAAUGAAGCGCUCUGUACGAACUUCUGAUACUAGUUUUUAUGGGUAUUUACAUUCUGGCGAGGGGAGCUGAACACGGAAGCUCCAUUAAUCGGCCCCAACCUUGGGUUUAGAUAUUGAGUUUAUGGGUUAGGAGAGGGAGUUUGCCGGAAAGAAAGCAACAGGGAUGGCCGCUGACUUCAGAUAAAUGAAAAGGGAGCUAGGUAGUUUUCUAUUUCUGGAAAUCAAGAAUUAGGAAUGGGCAACUACAGGUGCUAACAAACAGACCACUUUUUUUGGUUUCUGGUAGCCCUUUGGCAGGGAUAGUUUUUCUACUGUUGCCCAAUACGUUUUUUAAAAAUAUCUUUUUAUUAUGGAAUUUGUCAAACACACAAGCAUAACAAACCCCCAUAUAGCCAAAUCCUAGUUUCAACCCCUAUUAUAAUUUUUUCUCCAAUGUUUUAUUACCCACUUCCUCUCUCUCUCUCUCUCUAGUAUUUAAAAUAAAUCCCAGAUAUCAUUGCAUCAUUUCACCCCCACCAUAGGAUUUUGAGGAUCUGUCAGAUUUCAAGAUUGAGCAAAAGAACUUGAAAUGGGGCUAUUGCAAUGAAACUCUAGAAAGAACUUGAGGGUUCUCCCAGGAGUAAACUGGACAAAAAAGGGGUUGGGGGUGUGGACCCAUCUUGCCUAAAAUCUUGUCUCAUCUUUCUAAAAAAUACAUAUGAAAAGGGAAGAUUUAUGUUAUCUUUUUAUAUGAGUGAAUCGUCCUUUAAUAGAAAUUUUUUAUUGCUGCAUCAGAAUAUUGGGGAACACAAAAAACAUGGCUCAGUCCUUAGGGUGUCCUAAAUGGACAUAUAUUCACUUAUUAGUGGGUAAAUGACUAUAUUCCAUUUCAGCACAACUCCUCCCCUGGUAGAAACUCAAAAGACAUUUCUAAUGAUUAAACUAGGAAAGUUUGCACUGGAUUGAUAGCUCAUCAGAGCAACCACAGUUUUCAAGAAGAAAUUCAAUGCGAUGCAUUUAAAAUAUCCCUCUAGCAAUAAGGGAUUUUUUAAAAAAAGAAUGAAAAAAAGGUGUUGUGGUUUCUUUUGUUUUAA